AAGAAGGCACAAGAUAUCGAUGUGAUUGAUCACUUAAACAACAACACACGACACGCACAUUGCCCUUUCUUCGUUGUUGUUUUUAUUUUUUAUUUUUCCCUCUUUUUUUUGCCACGAGUCUAGUAUACAGUCGUUGAGAACAACGAUAAACAACAACAACCGCAAAAAUCUCCGAAAAUCGUAACAUUAUUAUUGCGGGAAUCUAAGUUAUAGAGUAACGCAAAGACAAGCUAAGUAGACUUGUCAUCACUUGCUUUAUAAUAAUU
rnacentral:ribozyme from 16 species